CACCCCACUCCUUGACUGCUGGUCUGGUCUGUUUAAGAUGUGUACAGGCCUUGAAGUCUCAUAAUAAUUGCAGUAAUAUCAAAGUUUAUAAAAACCAUACAUGCAUCCGUUCAUGUCAUAGAAAUCCACCACAGGGGCUAGGGGAUAUGAACUUUGUUUAAACU